rnacentral:rRNA from 1 species
CGUAGGGUGCGAGCGUUAAUCGGAAUUACUGGGCGUAAAGCGAGCGCAGACGGUUACUUAAGCAGGAUGUGAAAUCCCCGGGCUCAACCUGGGAACUGCGUUCUGAACUGGGUAGCUAGAGUAUGUCAGAGGGGGGUAGAAUUCCACGUGUAGCAGUGAAAUGCGUAGAGAUGUGGAGGAAUACCGAUGGCGAAGGCAGCCCCCUGGGAUAAUACUGACGUUCAUGCUCGAAAGCGUGGGUAGCAAACAGGAUU